ensembl:lncRNA
GGAGCAGGUGGAAGCCCCCCCCCCUCCACUGCCUUCCGCACCCUGCCGUGCCCUGCAUGUGACCGCACGCUGCCAUCAGUGCCCGCUCGUGUGCCCAGUGUGUGUGCACGCGUUUACCUGUGCACACGUGUGUACAUGUGCACGCGUGUGUGUGAAGUCGCCCCUCUCCACUGGCUGCGCUACCCCCUCCAGACCAGCCCCCUUCUGAGGACUCAGGCUCCUGUGCCUGUGAGCUCAGGGUCCUCAGGGUCCUCAGGUCCCCGCAGGCCCGCAAAGUGCUCAUCACUUGGAGAGAGGAUGCUGCGGAGCUGGCAGUUGUGCCCCCUCCUGUGCCCAACAGGAUUCUACACAUUGGAGAAAACAUGCAAUAUUUGUCUUUCUGAGUCUGCCGAACCCGAGCCAUUUGGCUGAACAUGAUGAAGAAUCCCAUGCAUUUCCCUGCACCUGACAUGAUUUCAUUCUUAUUUUGGGCCUAGUUGUGGUCAUUCUUACCUGCAUUUCCUUCAUUGUGGAAUCAGUUUUCCCCCUUGAACAGUUCCUAACUGGGGACUGUGCCUUGCAGGGUCAGUGUGUGUUUGAUGUACCCGUAUAUCCCUUUUCCACAGCCCUCCCACCUCCUCGCCUCUACUCCCCUGUCCCAGUUAAAUCCCUGAUGCUGGGUGUCGAACUCCACUGGCCAUGUCCUGGCUUUGUCUGCCUCCUCCAGAGUCUGCAUUCUGUUUCAUUUGAGUUGGAAACCAAUCAUCCACGUGCUCUGUUUUCCAUAGUCGCCAUCUGCUGCGUCCAUUGAUCUUUCUCCACUUGCAUUUCCUCCUGUUCUUAACCUUUCCAUAAGGUUCAUUUUCUGAUUCUUCAGAGUGCUUGUAACUCUACGUAGUAUUUAUGCAGCUCUUUCUGCAUGUUUAGCUCCAGUGACCACUAAGCAUUCGUUAAAUGAGUAAAUCAUUCUCUCUAUAUUUUCACCUCUAUUUUCCUUUGCUAUUUUUCCUGCCUCUGUGCUCGGAUUUCAGUAAGCUCAAGUCAGCACAAAGAAGAACUUGCCC